UUCUCCACGUUGUGCAGGUAAGGCAUACGAGGGCCUACCUGCACAACGUGGAGAGU
rnacentral:pre_miRNA from 1 species